UGUCAUUGUUGUAAAGGCUCCUUUAAGAGAGGGCUUUUAUUCUGACAUCAUAUGAGCGGUCUCGUUAGUUCAGCCGCUGUUGCCUGUUGAAGUGUACAUCUGUCGAGUCGAUCGCUGAAAGGACAUUUCUACUUGUUCUGUUGCGAUAUUUCCUGCAGCUGUUACCUCAAGGUGUUAGUUAUUGACCUACAAGUAAGCCUGUUCGCGUUAUUUUUGUGUUUGAGAUCGGUAUUGAGUUAUUUAUAACUGCGUCACCCGCACCUGUAUAGACAUGCCCGCAGCCAUCGUUUCUGUUAAUUUAGUUUAAUGAUUCUGCUCGCGAUGUGAUUAUUUCUUCUUUAUGGAUAUGGAUAUCACAGUUUGUUUUCCAUGAUACUGCGGUGACGUGAUAUUGAUUAUUUUGAGCUGUUUAUACCAAACUAGCGAUCGCAUUCUGAUGGGUCCUGAUUAUAGCCAUAUAUGGAGGGACGUUUAUCAUGUUAGAUGAUUGCUUAUAGUGCAUACUGUGAUACUUUUAUCCUCCCUUCUUGGAUUGUAUUGUUCACUGAGGAAUGGUACAGAUGAGGAUUUAGUGUACUUUGGCUGCCUUUAUGUACCAAUGGAUUUUUAUCAUUGUGUAUAUGCUUAAUUAUUGUUAUUCAUGACUGUUUAUUGUAUUUCUUGUAUUCCAGACUAACGCCUCUACUGCCUGUAAAUUGAUAAUAUUCUAUCAAUACAUCAUCGAAACCCAGUCACCUGUCUCCUCAUCCUUUAUAUUAUAUUGUGCUCUAACCGGCACCCAGGGGGUUCGCUCAUCCAAUUGCAAAUCAGAUCCUGACAGUCAAAGUCUCUCCAACAUUGUGGUCCUUCGAGCCGGAUGAGUGUUCCUUUCUGAAAUGAUGGACUCUGACGAGGAGAUUGUUGGCGGAGCACGCCCUAAACGCUUCACGCAUCCUCCAGCCUACCUAGAACAGUAUGAGGUGCAGUAUUCCCGAGGAAGACCUGUCUCAGAGCCUGGUGUGUCCCGCACUGUGGAGACGCCUGUCCCAGCCUGGUCCCUGUCCUUUCAGCCGUCUGUUGCCUUCCCUGGUGGUGACCGUCUCCACCCUGAUGGCUCGCAGAUCUUGUCAUCCAGUUAUCAGCCUACCCAGCCUGCUGUGUGCCCUCAGCUGGUCCCUUCCCCACCUUCAGCGGCUGAUUCAAUUGCUUCUGCUCAUCUCAGUGAGCUACAGCACCUACGUCACGAGCGUGCAGCCUUCGAAGCCGAUCUGAGAGAGUUGAGAGCAGUUCGUGCAGAAGUUCGAGAGUUGGUACAAGCAGCGCAGUCCCUUCGAGCAGACCUUAGCCAAGCUAGAGGUCAACCUCUGUUGCCGGGGCAGCCUUCAGCAUUGCGGUUGUCCAGUUCUCCAGUGAAGCCCUGUGUAUCCACUCCUGUGGUCGAUUGUGAUCCUUUCCCUGAUCUACCUCCGCCACCUUGGCCUGAGCCUAACGAAGCCUUGGCCAGACAGUUCGGAGCCCUCGAGUUGUCUGAUGCAGCUACUUCCUAUCGGCCUGUGGUCUCAGGGUCUCAGCAGAAUCCCGUAGUGCUCCCUACCACUCGCUCAUGCCCUCCUCAGCCUAGUGUUCCUGAUGCUGGUGAUUUCCCUCCACCUUCUACUCCUCAAGACCUUCGAGAGAUGCUCACUCCUAGUGUCAUGCCAGUGCCUGCCCACCACCAGGCAGCACCUCCCUCUCCUAGGGUCUCAGCCUUUCUCCCUCAGUCAGAGCCUAGGGUGCGCCCUGUAGUCCCUUCCUCUGAGUCUGUGUAUCGUGGCCCCCCGCCUACCAUCCCUAAGUUUUCGCAUCCAGAUCCUAGUGAGUUUGCUCGCCUUCGCAUAGCCCUGGAAAACCUGCUUCCCCCAGAUGGCACGGAGCUGUUUAAGUACCAGAUCCUAGUAGACCACCUUAAGCUCGAGGAAGCUAAGAUGAUAGCUGAUGCUAACUUGAAUUCCCCUACCCCCUUUACCGAUACCAUGUCAGCACUUUGUGACAAGUAUGGCCAGCCACAUCAGUUAGCCUUGAGGAGGAUAGCUAGUGUCUUGGACAGUCCUGACGUUAGACGAGAUGACAUCCCAGCCUUCCAGAGAUUCGCUCUCCAAGUCCAGUCCCUAGUUGGCUUGUUGAGAACCUUAGGGCGUGAUGGGGAGCUCGAGUUGAGUUGUGGUUCCCAUGUCGCACGCCUUUUAAGCAAACUUCCCCCAGAGCAGAGAGCGGAGUUUCGUCGCCACAUGUUUCGUCAACCUGGUUCUACACCUAACCUUGUUGACCUUUCUAAUUGGCUUCGUUAUGAGACCUGGUGCCAUAGUUAUGAUGCAGAGUUGACCACUAAGAGCUCACAUUCUGGCAAGAGAUCCGUUGCUAUCCUGCAUGGAGUUGGAGCAUCCUCAGCCUCAACCACAUGCUUGUCACCUUCCCCAGUUGAGUCUUCCAUGCCUCGUAGAGGUUCCAUGCAGCCAGCGAAGCCUGUUAGAAUGAAGCGCUAUUGUCCAUUCUGCGGUGCGUCUGAGCAUUACCUGAGUCAGUGUGCUUCCUUCGCCCAGCUUACGCCUGAUCAAGUUAAGACCUGGAUCCGUAAAAACAAUCGCUGUUGGCGCUGUGCCAGAUGCCACCACGCUGCCCAAUGUGAUCUGAAGAAGCCCUGCAGUCUUUGCCGUGGCCUACAUCUUCGUUCCCUUCACGGCGUGAAUGUCAGUCCUUCCUCUACUGAGGAUUCUGCUACUGUGGAGAAGAGUUGCUUCACAAGCUCCUCCUCAGACAGGUUCUUCUUGGAUAAGCCUUCGGUUAGCGGCCGUGUGAUGCUUAAAGUGGUUCCAGUGCACCUGAGUUAUGAGAAUCGUACCCUGGAGACUUUCGCCCUCUUGGAUGAUGGGUCUGAGAGAACGAUCCUGCUUUCCACUGCCGUUGAAGCCCUGGGGAUUCAGGGUGUUCCUGAAGACCUUCCAUUACGGACGGUCAGAGACGAUGUUCAGGUCAUUCGUGGUUGUUCCAUAUCCUUCCAGAUUUCUCCCGUCUACCGACCGCAGAUCAGUUAUCAGAUCAGUCACGCCUUUACUGCUGAUCGCCUUAACCUGUCGCGCCAGUCCUAUCCGGUGGAUCAGUUGCGGCGGAAGUACAGACACUUGAGGGGCCUUCCUAUUCGUACCCUUACUGAGGUCCAGCCCUUGCUCCUUAUCGGUUCUGACCAGCCCCACCUUAUCACCCCUACUGAGCCAGUUCGAUGGGGCGGCCCAGGAGCUCCAGUUGCAGUUCGUACCCGCCUAGGAUGGACACUUCAGGGUCCUGUUCCUUCCGUAGGUGGUCCUUCCACCCCUCGCCAGUGCAUGCUUACCUCUUUGGUUCCUGUCCAGGAUGAGCUCCUACACCACGUACAGAGAUUGUGGCAGUUGGAUACAGUUCCUCACCGGGAGUGUAAAGAAGUUACCCGUUCCAAGCAAGACCAGGAAGCCCUUCAGCUACUUGACCGCAAGACCCUUACCCUUGAGAUUGAGGGUGUUCGUCGCCUUGCCACUCCCCUUCUUCGUCAUAAAGACAUGCCUUUGUUAAAUGCUACGAGAGAUUCAGUCUUGUCUAAUCUCCGCAGUGUGGAACGGCGUCUGUUGAAGGAUCCUGAGAAGGCCGAGACCUACCGAGCAGAGAUGCGUAAACUCCUUGAAAUUGGAGCGGUCUGUGUAGUGCCUGAUCCUGUUCCUGAUACCCCUGAGUGUUGGUACAUUCCGCACCACAUUGUUAGCCACAAUGGGAAGUCUCGUCUCGUCUUCAAUUGUUCCCAUCAGCACCGAGGUCAGAGCCUUAACCAGUACCUUUUGCCCGGACCAACCCUCGGACCUUCGUUGUUAGGUGUCCUCCUUCGUUUUCGGGAGCAUCCUGUAGCUGUGAGCGGAGAUAUUAAGGCGAUGUUCCACCAGGUUCGCCUCCUACCUGAAGAUCGUCCUCUGCUCCGCUUCCUAUGGCAAGAUCUGCAGAUGAAUGAGGCUCCUCGGACCUUCGAGUGGUUGGUCCUACCCUUCGGCACCACCUCCAGCCCUUGCUGUGCUAUCUACGCACUCCAGCGCCACACUCGUCAGCACUCCUUAACAGAUGAGGAGAUUCGUUACUCUGUAGAAAGAUGUUUCUACGUAGAUAAUUGCCUCCAGAGCCUACCUACUGCUGAUGCAGCCCGGAGUCUGAUAGAUCGCCUGCGCACUGUCCUUUCUGGGGCUGGAUUUGAGAUCCGGCAUUGGGCCUGUAACGAUCCAACUGUAUUAAGCCACCUACCUCCUGAGGCUAGAGCGACUAGUGUGGAGUUGUGGCUGACGCAGGAGAAGGCCGAUGUUCCUGAGUCCACAUUAGGUUUGAGUUGGAAUUGGCAGUCUGAUACCUUGUCCUAUAAGCACAGACCCGUGAUCUAUGAGACCCCAACCUUGCGGAAUAUUUAUAGGGUCCUUGCUAGUCAGUAUGACCCUCUGGGACUGCUCCUUCCUUACACAACCCGUGCGAAGGUGAUCGUGAAGCACCUUUGGAACAAACAGAGAGAGUGGGAUGAUCCCAACCUACCUCCGGACCUUCUCCAUUCCUGGAUACAGUGGGAAGAGGAACUUCGCGGCCUUCCUAGUGUCUUUUUUCCUCGGCGUUAUGUUCCUCCUGCAGUAGGGAUUGAUGGAGUUACUCACGAGGUCCACAUCUUCUCAGAUGCCUCUGAGCAAGCCUACGGAGCCGUAGCUUAUCUGCGUACUGUCGAUCCAGCUGGUCAGACCUACCUCUCCUUCCUCAUUGCUCGGUCCCGAGUUACCCCUAAGAGAGUACACUCUAUUCCUCGAUUGGAGCUCUGUGGGAGCUUAGUCGCAGCCCAGCUUGCGAAGUUGCUGGCAAAUGAGUUGACCUUGACGAUUCAGUCUACUGUGCUGUGGACAGAUUCUACGACGGUCCUUCAGUGGUUAAAGUCAGAGUCCUGUCGCUACAGAGUCUUCGUUGGCAAUAGGAUAGCUGAGAUUCAAGAGCUUACCGAUCAGUGCUCGUGGCGUUAUGUUGGUUCUGCAGAUAACCCUGCCGAUGACCUCACCAAGGGGAGAUCUCUGUCCUACCUCGCUUCCCCGAACCGGUGGUCCCGAGGACCCCCUUUCCUUCUCCUUGACCUUCAAGAAUGGCCGGUCCUUCGUACUUCUGAGGCUGGUGAAGAGCUAGCAGAGUUGCGCAAGUCGACCUUCUGUGGAGUUGUUACCUCACCAAACACCUCUGGCCACCCUGAUAAAUGGAGUUACCCUACCUGGAUAGACCUGCUGGAUGUCACUGCCCGAGACCUACGAGGUGACUCAGAUCCUAGCACUGUUCUUGAAGCCACAGAUUAUCAACGAGCCGAAGUUCAUGUCCUUAAAUGCAUCCAACUGGAAUCCUUCCCGGAAGAUUACCACCUGUUGGAAUCCGGGAAGACAGUGAAACCUAGUAGCCGUCUAGUUGCCUUGGCACCCGAGAUGGAUCCUUCUAACGGCUUGAUUAGAGUGGGCGGUUGUUUGAGGAGAGUGGCUGACCUUGCAGAUUCUGUUGUCCAUCCUGUAGUCCUAGACUCUAGGCAUCCAGUCACUCGCCUGAUAAUCCACCAUUACGACAACCAGUUGCAUCACCCUGGAGCAGAACGGCUGUUUGCUGAGAUAAGGAGGCAUUAUUGGGUCCUGCGAGGCCGUGAAGCUGUUCGGCGGUUUCAGCAUACCUGUCUGGAAUGUCGCAGAUGGAGAGGCCAACCUUCAGUGCCUCAGAUGUCUGAUCUACCCUCCGCCCGCCUUCAGCUUCACAAGCCUGCCUUCCAUUCAUGUGGGAUGGAUUGCUUCGGUCCUUUCCUAAUCAAGAUUGGUAGACGUACAGAGAAGCGUUGGGGUGUUCUGUUUAAGUGUCUUACCACUAGAGCCGUACACUUAGACUUACUCCCUAGCCUGAGUACGGAUUCCUUUCUUAUGGCCCUUCGGAGGUUCAUCGCUAAGAGAGGCACCCCAGCACAGUUAUGGUCAGAUCGAGGGACCAAUUUCCGUGGAGGCGAGCGGGAGUUGCGAGAAGCAUAUGCCACCUUAGCUCCUGAUCUGCAGCGUCAUCUUGCGCGCCAGAAGAUCAGCUUCUGCUUCAAUCCACCAUCAGCCCCUCACUUUGGUGGAGUUUGGGAGAGGGAGGUGAGAUCUGUCAAGUCAGCCUUGUACACCGUUUUGGGUUCCCAGUCGGUUCCUGAGGAGGUCCUGAUGACGGUCUUGUUGGAAGUCGAGGCUAUCCUUAACUCAAAACCUUUGGGUUACGUAUCCUCCGACGUGGCGGAUGCUGACCCAGUGACCCCCAGUAGUCUCCUAAUGGGGCGGCCUGAUGGAUCCUUGCCUCAAGUAAUUUACCCAGAAUCAGAGAUGUUAAGCCGCCGAAGAUGGAAACAUUCCCAGAUCCUAGCCGAUCGAUUCUGGUCUCGAUUCAUCCGGGAUUAUCUUCCUAGCUUGCAGACCAGGCAGAAAUGGCAAGCCUCGCCUCCUGACCUCCGAGAGCAUACCUAUGUCAUGAUUGUCGACCCUCAGUUGCCCAGAGGUUUGUGGCCUGUAGGUAAAGUCAUUCAGACCCAUCUCAGUCCCGAUGGCCACAUUAGGUCCGCAGAUGUGCAGAUCAAGGAUCAUAUCUAUACCAGACCAGUGGCCCGUCUGGUGGUUCUACCAACCUUGCCUUCAGAUGAUCCUGGAGUUCCGAACCCUCCAGAAUAGAGUCGCCUUUCUUGAAUACAAAGAUGCUUCUCAUCUUUGGGGGCGGCUGUUGUAAAGGCUCCUUUAAGAGAGGGCUUUUAUUCUGACAUCAUAUGAGCGGUCUCGUUAGUUCAGCCGCUGUUGCCUGUUGAAGUGUACAUCUGUCGAGUCGAUCGCUGAAAGGACAUUUCUACUUGUUCAGUUGCGAUAUUUCCUGCAGCUGUUACCUCAAGGUGUUAGUUAUUGACCUACAAACUAACGCCUCUACUGCCUGUAAAUUGAUAAUAUUCUAUCAAUACAUCAUCGAAACCCAGUCACCUGUCUCCUCAUCCUUUAUAUUAUAUUGUGCUCUAACCGGCACCCAGGGGGUUCGCUCAUCCAAUUGCAAAUCAGAUCCUGACAGUCAAAGUCUC